GCGCUUUUGUCCAGUGCAAGAA
rnacentral:miRNA from 14 species